rnacentral:rRNA from 1 species
GAUGAACGCUGGCGGCGUGCCUAAUACAUGCAAGUCGAACGAGGCAGCACUUGUAGCAAUACAGGAGCUGUCCUAGUGGCGAAUGGGUGAGUAACACGUAGGCGACCUGCCCCGAAGAGGGGGAUAACAGUCCGAAAGGACUGCUAAUACCCCGUACGUUCCGGGGGGCUAGAGGCCCCCGGAGGAAAGCUGUGCGUAAGCAUGGCGCUUUGGGAGGGGCCUGCGGCCCAUCAGCUUGUUGGUAGGGUAACGGCCUACCAAGGCGACGACGGGUAGGGGGCCUGAGAGGGUGGUCCCCCACACUGGCACUGAAACACGGGCCAGACACCUACGGGUGGCAGCAGUAGGGAAUAUUGCACAAUGGGCGAAAGCCUGAUGCAGCAACGCCGCGUGCGCGAUGAAGGCCUUCGGGUCGUAAAGCGCUUUUCGGGGGGAUGAGGAAGGACAGUACCCCCGGAAUAAGUCUCGGCUAACUACGUGCCAGCAGCCGCGGUAAAACGUAGGAGGCUAGCGUUAUCCGGAUUCACUGGGCGUAAAGCGCGUGUAGGCGGCUCGGUAAGUCGGGCGUGAAAUCUCCUGGCUCAACUGGGAGAGGCCGUCCGAAACUACCAGGCUCGAGGGCAGUAGAGGGAGGUGGAAUUCCGGGUGUAGCGGUGAAAUGCGUAGAUAUCCGGAGGAACACCUGUGGCGAAAGCGGCCUCCUGGACUGUCCCUGACGCUCAGACGCGAAAGCUAGGGGAGCGAACGGGAUUAGAAACCCCGGUAGUCCUAGCUGUAAACUAUGCGGACUUGGUGUUGGUGGCUUAAACUCCAUCCGUGCCGAAGCUAACGCGAUAAGUCCGCCGCCUGGGGACUACGGCCGCAAGGUUAAAACUCAAAGGAAUUGACGGGGGCCCGCACAAGCAGCGGAGCGUGUGGUUCAAUUCGAGGUUACGCGAAGAACCUUACCAGGGCUUGACAUGCACGUAGUAGGGAUCUGAAAGGUGACCGACCCUUCGGGGAGCGUGCACAGGUGCUGCAUGGCUGUCGUCAGCUCGUGUCGUGAGAUGUCCGGUUAAGUCCGGUAACGAGCGCAACCCCUGUCGCGUGUUACAUGUGUCACGCGAGACUGCCGGUAUCAAACCGGAGGAAGGUGGGGAUGACGUCAAGUCAGCAUGGCCUUUAUGUCCUGGGCUACACACACGCUACAAUGGCCGGUACAAUGGGUCGCAAAGCCGCGAGGCGGAGCCAAUCCUAAAAAGCCGGUCUCAGUUCGGAUCGCAGGCUGCAACCCGCCUGCGUGAAGUCGGAGUUGCUAGUAACCGCAGGACAGCUAUACUGCGGUGAAUACGUUCCCGGGCCUUGUACACACCGCCCGUCACGUCAUGGGAGCUGGCAACACCUGAAGUCGGUGACCCAACCGCAAGGAGGGAGCCGCCGAAGGUGGGGCUGGUGACUGGGACGAAG